rnacentral:rRNA from 1 species
UACAGAGACUGCAAGCGUUAUUCGGAUUCACUGGGCGUAAAGGGUGCGCAGGCGGCCGUGUGUGUGAGGCGUGAAAGCCCGGGGCUUAACCCCGGAAUUGCACCUCAAACUACAUGGCUAGAGCAUUGGAGAGGGUAGCGGAAUUCACGGUGUAGCAGUGAAAUGCGUAGAGAUCCGGAGGAACACCAAAGGCGAAGGCAGUGUCCUGGGGAGUACCUGACGCUCAGGUGCGAAAGCCAGGGGAGCGAACGGG